UGGUGCAAGGGGAAAGGGUGGGAACUAAACAGGGGCACCAACAAGGUGAAGUGGAAUGAGACAAGAGACAGAGUGACAGAGAAAGGAAGAGCGACGGGAGGAGAGUAGAAUAGAGGGAGGGAGGGUUUAGAGCCAAAUAAGCUGCCCUCUCUUCUCCCACAUCUCAGUCUGUGAGCACUGGAGCACAGCGUGAGCUCUGGAGCGCAUUCCCGACAUGUACACCUGUAAGCCCUAUUCAUUCAUUCAGGGAUGCAGCAGUCACAUAUGAAUGGCAGCGACACUGUUGAGACGUUAACGGCAGCAAAGAGUGUUUUAAAUCUGUCUUGAUGAGAUCAUUUAAGCUCGGAGGCAGAGGCAGCGGAGGAGAAGGCGACAUGCAAAGAAGUGGAUGUUGAGCUGCUCCAGUCUACAAUUAAGGGGCUGGCACUGAGGACGCGACCCUACCCGAGGAUUGGAUAGCACCCACCGGAUGCUGUGAACGAAAUCAACUAGUUGUCACCCCAACUCUGCUGCUCAUAUGUGCGCCAAACACGCUCUCCUUCCCCGGGAUGAGAACUUGAUGGAUCCCUCUAUUCAUCACAGCUGACACAUCAAGGCCCAGCACCAUUAUCAGCACCUUCAUCAUUAACACAGGACUAGACUCUGUGACGAAAGUGGAUCAUCGCUCACUUCUGGAUAAUCGACUGAACUGAACCACUGAUACACUCAGUCUCCGCUUCUCCAGGCCUCUUUAUACAGAGCCUACAGUAUGAGUCCUUAAUGUGACCAUGUGUGUUGGCUAUUAACAUAGGUAGUGACAUGACUCAGGUCUGACCCUGGACAUGCCGAAGAGACGAGACAUCGUCGCCAUUGUGUUGAUCGUGUUGCCUUGGACAUUGCUCAUCACUGUUUGGCACCAGAGCACCAUCACGCCUCUGCUUGCUACUCGAAAGGAUGACAGACGUGAUGGUCGCUCCAAUUCCAGAAAUACUUUUGCUUUCAAGGAGUCCUGCUCACUUCAGAACCGGGACAUCGUGGAGGUGGUGCGCACUGAGUAUGUGUACAGCCGGCCUCCGCCCUGGUCUGACAUCCUGCCCACCAUCCACGUCAUCACUCCAACCUAUAGCCGGCCGGUGCAGAAGGCAGAGCUGACACGUCUGGCCAACACUUUGCUGCACGUGCCCAACCUGCACUGGAUCCUGGUGGAGGACUCCCAGAGGAGGACCACUCUGGUCAGCCGUCUCCUCCGUGAGACGGGACUCAACUACACCCACCUCAACGUGGAGACGCCUAGGAACUAUAAAGUACGUGGGGACACUAGGGACCCCCGAAUACCUAGGGGUACAAUACAGAGGAACCUGGCUUUACGGUGGCUCCGGGAGACCUUCAGCGUAAACAACAGCCAGCCUGGGAUUGUCUACUUUGCAGAUGAUGACAACACAUACAGUCUGGAGCUGUUUGAAGAGAUGCGUUCCACCAAAAAAGUGUCAGUGUGGCCUGUGGCCUUUGUGGGUGGCCUACGGUAUGAGUCCCCUAAAGUAAACACCUUGGGCAAGGUGUACGGCUGGAAGACUGUAUUCGACCCACACCGGCCCUUUGCCAUCGACAUGGCUGGGUUUGCAGUGAACCUGCGCCUCAUUCUGUCUAAACCUCAGGCUUAUUUCAAGUUACGUGGAGUGAAAGGAGGUUAUCAGGAGAGCAGUUUAUUAAAGGAGCUGGUCACUCUCAGCGAUUUGGAGCCUAAAGCUGCUAACUGCACUAAGGUAUUAGUAUGGCACACACGGACAGAGAAGCCUGUGCUCGUAAAUGAGGGCAAGAAAGGAUUUACAGACUCUAAUGUGGAGAUAUGACAUACUUCAUCUGACACAGUGAAAUAUUUGGAUAACUAUUGGAUGGAUUGGAACAUAUAUCUAUACUGCCCAGAUGGUGAAUCCUAGUGACUUGAGUGAUGCCUGAAUUUUCAUCUAGUGCCACCAGCAGGGGAGGCAUUUCUCCAUGGAAUUCUACCUGAAACCAACCUCAGAGCUCCUUAAAGCAAUAGUCAGGGUCACAAAUAUUAUCACAGCACAGUAGCUGUAAUUCACCACAGCUUAGAAAUGGAGACACACCUGUCCACCCGAGGAGACAGCACAAGCCAUGUGCAUGAACCGACCACAGAGUAUCAAAGCACAACUGCACAAAAACAAGUCGGUAUGCUCUGCUCGGAGCACUGGCUGAUGCCAGACACUGGUAGGGGUUGCCAACAGGAGCUUGCCCACUGAGGUCUCCUCGGAGAGCUGAAACAAAGGAUGUUACGUGAUUUGAACUGCAGGAAGAGAUGGCACGGCAAGCAAUAAAGAGCCCUCUGAGCACAGACAACACCAGCCAACCAUCCAAUCAGCAUCAAAUAGGAACCUUUUGUUCUGAGGCGAGCUGGCUGUCGGUCACAGGGCUGCACAGAGGAAUAAAAGGGGUCCUUGUCUUAAGUGAGUCAGCACUGACUGACAGACUGCACUGAGGGGAUCGGAGGCCUCCCCACUUGUACUGUACAACACUGAGCUAUUUAGAUAGCACCCUGAACCCAGCACUAAUUAGGAGUCCUGUUACUCCUCAACAGGCAUUCACACAUGCUCAGCUGUCACACUGCACAUGAUGAGCACACAAACACAGAGCAAUGACUUAUUACAGUAUAACAUCAAUGUCCUUUCUUACAGUCUACUACUGAGGUCCACUCAUAUUUAAGAGAAGAUUCAGUAUUCCCAAGGGUCUGUCCACUUCACAGGCUUCUUCAUAAGCUAAUUAAGAUCCAACUGAGUGAACUGAAGGUGUCUCAGCAGAAUUAUUUAUUGUUUCAGAGUAACUGGUACCAUUCACUUGUUAGUCUUGAGCUAUGCUUGUGUGAGUCAAUAGGAUAUGAAACCAUUACUCUAAAAAUCGAAUGUGCAUCCUUUCAAAUAGCUGUAUUACACAAUCUAAUGAUUCCCACCAUGGAUGGCUGGCUUGUAAGUGAUGAUUUCAUACCCCAUUGACUUGCAGUGGCACUGGCUACAAAUGUUAAUGUUCUCAAACUCUGUGCCUGUUAAGACUUUGGUCAGUUAUCGAUGUGUCAGGCAUCUGAAACUUGAACUUUUAUUUAAGAAAAGGAAUGUUGCACAAAUGUUACUACAAUGCUGCUUGUGUUUCAUCUGAAAGUUUUUCGCAUCACUCCUGCCUCAGUUCAGAUUGUCCCAUAGCCUGUUUUUGUUUUACAGGCUAAGAUGUGUCCAUUUCAAUAACUGCUACCCGACACGUUGUGUGGAAUAUUCACACAAGCAAUACAAAUCUAUCAACAAUAUCAAAUACAACUGCCAUCCCCAGAAAUUAUUACUCUUCAACUGGAAAUCCAUGGGUAAGAGGAUCUACUUGGUAAUUCUGCUCUAUGUGUAACUAAAGGUACCGUAUGUACAUAGCUAUAAACUGCUCCCAUACAAA